rfam:Gossypium arboreum cultivar AKA8401 contig_38791_3, whole genome shotgun sequence.
AUCUAGUAGUGAGGGCAUAUACGAAGUAACUCAUUGAAUCUUUCUCAUGCCUCAUAUAGGGACUCAUCAUCCAUCUGCUGAAAACUAGUAAUCUCAUUCCACAACUU